CGCUUGCUCGCAUUGCGAAGGUUACCUCCAAAAAUGGCAAUGGCACUCGAGUUCCCCUCGUCGCGCUUGCUCGCAUUGCGAAGGUU
rnacentral:rRNA from 1 species